GCCACCAUGGUGUAUUGGUUUGAGUGUUGGACUACAACUCUGGAGACCAGGGUUCGAUUCCCUGCUCGGCCA
rnacentral:tRNA from 1 species